AGAGCGAACGCUGGCGGCAGGCCUAAUACAUGCAAGUCGAACGCACCUUCGGGUGAGUGGCGGACGGGUGAGUAACACGUGGGAACGUGCCCUUUGGUUCGGAAUAAUCCGGGGAAACCUGGCCUAAUACCGGAUGUGCCCUUCGGGGGAAAGAUUUAUCGCCAAAGGAGCGGCCCGCGUCUGAUUAGCUAGUUGGUGAGGUAACGGCCCACCAAGGCUACGAUCAGUAGCUGGUCUGAGAGGAUGAUCAGCCACACUGGGACUGAGACACGGCCCAGACUCCUACGGGAGGCAGCAGUAGGGAAUCUUGCGCAAUGGGCGAAAGCCUGACGCAGCCAUGCCGCGUGAAUGAUGAAGGUCUUAGGAUUGUAAAAUUCUUUCAGCAGGGAAGAUAAUGACUGUACCUGCAGAAGAAGCUCCGGCUAACUUCGUGCCAGCAGCCGC
rnacentral:rRNA from 1 species